CAAAGUGUAGCUUAAAUAAAGCACCUGGUUUACACCCAGGAGAUUUCACCCUAAAUGACCACUUUGA
rnacentral:tRNA from 1 species